UGAGGAACAUGACCUUCGGCGGGGGAUAGCCGGCCCAACGGCCGGGUAAUACCGCGUACGACCACAUGGGGACAUCCCCGAGUGGUGAAAGCAGCAAUGCGCCGAUGGAGUGCCUCGCGGCCUAUCAGCUAGUUGGUGAGGUAACGGCUCACCAAGGCGACGACGGGUAGCUGGUCUGAGAGGAUGGCCAGCCACAUUGGGACUGAGACACGGCCCAGACUCCGUAGGGAGGCGG
rnacentral:rRNA from 1 species